rnacentral:rRNA from 1 species
UACGUAGGGUGCAGGCGUUAAUCGGAAUUACUGGGCGUAAAGCGGGCGCAGGCGGCUUUGCAAGUCAGAUGUGAAAUCCCCGGGCUUAACCUGGGAACUGCAUUUGUGACUGCAUGGCUGGAGUGCGGCAGAGGGGGAUGGGAUUCCGCGUGUAGCAGUGAAAUGCGUAGAUAUGCGGAGGAACACCGGUGGCGAAGGCAAUCGCCUGGGCCUGCGCUGACGCUCAUGCACGAAAGCGUGGGGAGCAAUCCGG